rnacentral:rRNA from 1 species
UCCUCCAAGGCUAAAUACUCCUGAUUGACCGAUAGUGAACCAGUACUGUGAAGGAAAGGCGAAAAGAACCCCGGUGAGGGGAGUGAAAUAGAACCUGAAACCUUGUACGUACAAGCAGUGGGGGCCCGAAAGGGUGACUGCGUACCUUUUGUAUAAUGGGUCAGCGACUUAUAUUUUGUAGCGAGGUUAACCGAAUAGGGGAGCCGAAGGGAAACCGAGUCUUAACUGGGCGACUAGUUGCAAGGUAUAG